AAAAUAGAGAAUACAAUCAUUAAUCGUUUGAUAUUUCAGCCUUGCUGAUAAUGCUGUACGUACUGGUCAUCGGGUUCAUGUUUUACCCACUGUUCGCCUGUCUAACAACCAGCUGGGUGUUUGUGGGCUCCAUAUUGGGCCUGGGGUAUUGCACAUUCUGGUCAGCGAAAGUAUCAUCAUUUUUAAUGGAAAUACACUUAAAAAAAUACAAGUAGAAUUAAUCGACCUUUAAAACUGGAGAAUGUGAAUAUUAUACACACCGAUAUCCGAUAUUUAUUAUAUUGCAGUGAACAUUGAAUAGCUAUUUGUAUAUGUAAUAACUACUGGUAUAUUAUUCCUGUUCUAGCCAUUUUUGUAAAGACAUUACAGUUGAUCAAGAAUUAACGAUGUGUGAUUAAUAUUUAAGACCAUGCACCGUACGAUUAUAAUGAUCUUAUUUGUUUACUGUUUAUAUUUUCAGAGACUGCGAAAAUGCUUGGUUUAUUUAAUCACUUUUUUCAAACAAAUUUUUAAUUUUUAUGAAAAUCACAUCUUUUUACACAAUGCUCACGAAAUACGCUACAAUGUGUAUACAUGUAUGUAAAUGUCAAGUCAUGCUUACACAUCAUUUAUAUGUAUCAUUUUCUGAAUGUGUCGCUGGUUUCAAACAAUAGGAUCCCAUUUAUCCGCUCCUUUAUUACACCCGCUAGAAAAAACAGACUUUAUGCAUGUGCGAAUAGUGUCGUCCCAGAUUAGCUUGUGCAGUUUACACAGACCAAUUAAAGGACUACACUUUCACUUUUAUGGUAUUUUGCGUAUAAAAGAAGUCUCUUUUUAGCGAAUUUUCAGUUAAGGCGGACAGUGUCGUCCCUUUUUAGCCUGUAUAGACCGCAUAGGCUAAUCCGAGACGUCACUUUACGCACAACUUAAUCCCCGUUUUUCUAGAGCGCGGCUUUGUAUGUUACAAUAUUAGCGACAGCAACCCUUGUAUUAAUGCUAGGUUGUUAGAGAAUCAAUUGCGGCACUUUGUAUCCAAAUAUGGGUAGUUCUAUAAAUAAGGGCGAGAAACGCGGAACAAUAUUUUGUAGACAAAUGACUUGAACCUUGUACUUGUUAUUUUUGUAUGUCAGUUUAAUUUACUAGUAUCACAAUUUAUCAUACCACCGCAUUGAUAUCUGCCUGAUAUAACGUAGCCUGAUAUAUUUUUUUAUCAUACCACAGCAUUGAUAUCUGCCUGAUAUAACGUUGCCUGAUAUAUUAUUUUAUAUCAUGGUCAACAGGAAGUUCUUAUAUCAGUCAAUGUUUAGAGUUACGUGGGAUUUGCAAUUAAGUCAACAGUUUCUAUCAACAUAAAUUAGGUUCAACCAAACAAACAAUUUGAUACCAAGAACGUACAUAUUUUAUUCUAGUUUAAAGUCAUAAAUCACAAAAACGUUUAUUUAAAAAAAAAUCACAGCCCGCAUUCUAGAAGUUAAAUGACGUCAUCAAUGGGGCAAUAAAUCUUGAGUAGCGAUAUAGUCAUUGUACCCACAAGUGUUGCACAGAAAGUCAAGACAAAUGAUAACUGUAUGCUAAUCCUCAACUAUUCAAACAAACGAUUUAACACGCUUAUGUCAAUAUUGACACCAUCAUCAAAAUGUCAAUUUCAAUACACAUCUCCAAAAUGGCAUCUCCAAACUAUUCGGUGAAGCGUGUUCUUCGAUUAAAUUUGUCGCUGCAGUCCAUUCCUGAUCUCAAAUUCAAGACGUUUAUAAUUAAAGCGGGUGUACUCUUUCCAUUCGUAAUGCAAAUAAAAAAAUUCUCUAUACGAUGUUAAAAAUAAGCGAUUGUUCGUGUCGUCUUUUCGAACGUCGUUAUUACAUGUAUGUCAACGUGUAAAAGCCGGAUCAGCAAAAUCAGCGAUGAUCCGUACAUUUUAAUUAUAAAAAAUGGAUUGCUUUGCAGAUUUUUAGAAAAAUGUGGUAUGAUAAACAGAAAAACAGGUUACUGUCCCAUCGUUUUGUAAUAUAUCAGGCUCGGCACGAAUAAAAUAACGGCUCGGCAAGCCUCGCCGUUAUAUUAUUCUAAGCCUUGCCUGAUAUAUUAGAAAACGAUGGGACAGUAAUCUGUUAUUCUCUAUAUAUCAUGGUUAACAGGAAGUUCUCAUUUCAGUCAAUGGUUGGAGUAACGUGGGAUUUGCAAUAAAGUCAACAAUUUCUACCAACAUGAAUCAGGUUCAACAAAACAAACAAUUUGAUACCAAGAACGUACAUAUUUUAUUCUAGUUUAAAGUCAUAAAUCACAAAAAAGUUUCUUUUUUAAAAAUCACCACAGCCCGCACUACAGAAGUUAAAUGACGUCAUUAAUGGGACAAUAAAUCUUAAAUAUCGAUAUAGUCAUUGCACUCGCAAGUGUUGCACAGAAAUUCAAGACAAAUGCCACGUUCUGUGGCGUCUCAUCUGGAUCCAAACUGUUUGCAAAGGCCUUUGAAAUUCGGUUCCAGCGCUGAAAGGGUUAAGGUUGAACGUCGAAAGUACGGCACCCCAUAUAACAUCCAGUAUGUUAAGAACUUGUCGGCGGGCAAGAAGUUAUAUCAGAACAUGUCAUACGCCGCCUUGGACGUCACACCAAACUGGACAACAAAGAUUCGUGUAUUUUUGCGCCAGUAUAUCUACGUCAACGACCCGACAUUUAAAUAUUCCCCAAGGAUCAUUGGCAUUUUCACAGUAGCCUUGAUAUGUUCAUAUCAGUUCGGUAUUAUAAUCGUACUGGAAUCAUACCAGCUUGAAAAGUUGGUGCAGUUCCUGUACCCAAACACGACGGCUGAAGGCAACAGUACCGUCGACGACAGCGGUAAUUCGUUCCUCAGACUUAUGGUCAACACGGUCAACGGUACGUGAAGACGGCCAACGGUUACAUGAACUACGUGAGUUUCCUCCAUUUCGAAGAAUGCCAUCGACACCCGGUCUUGUUGGUAUUUUGAAACAUUCUGAUUGACGGUGUGCCGCAAGACCAGAACCAGGCUCGCCUUAACACAUACGGAAAAAUUGAGGACGUUUCAACUGACGUCACUUAUUCCAGUUCCAGUUCUUGGACUGCGUUAGGAAGGCCGAGACGUCGUUGGUUGAAAGCGUACACGAUGGUGAGGAAUCCAUCUGUGAGAGUAAAACAGACUGAAGCAGACUAUGACACGUUAGAAAACAUUGACAUCACUGAUCUUUCUGACCAGGUUAGCAUUGACGUAUCUAAUAAUGACCUGUCAAACACUGGCGUUGCUCAUCAUGACCAAACUAUCAUGCACAUGGAUCAUACCGAUUAAUCAGUGCUAGUUUAGUUGUUGUUGUUUUGUUGGGAGGGACGUCAUAGUUUUGUAAAACGAUAAACUUUUAAGUGCCGGUGCAUACAGUUAAUUUUGUAUGUGCUUAUUUGUAAAUGUUUAUAUAUUGUUUAUUUUUAUAAAAACAUUAAACUCCUGACA